UGCGCUUUAGAUUUUAUGAGAGUUCUUCUGCAAGAAAGCGAACUGUGACUGCUGAAGAAAGAGAAAGGGCAAUAAAUGCAGCCAAAGCUUUUGAGCCUAUUAAUCCUUUUUGUAGGGUUGUCCUGCGACCAUCUUACCUAUACAGGGGUUGCAUUAUGUAUUUGCCUUCUUGCUUUGCUGAGAAGAAUUUAAAUGGGGUAUCAGGGUUUAUUAAACUCCAGUUUUCUGAUGGGAAACAAUGGCCUGUCCGAUGCCUAUAUAGGGGAGGUAGAGCUAAAUUAAGCCAAGGGUGGUAUGAAUUCACAUUG
rnacentral:misc_RNA from 1 species